CCUACGGGAGGCAGCAGUGAGGAAUAUUGGUCAAUGGGCGAGAGCCUGAACCAGCCAAGUCGCGUGAAGGAUGACGGCCCUACGGGUUGUAAACUUCUUUUGUCAGGGAGCAAUUGGGUCCACGCGUGGGCUUAGCGAGAGUACCUGAAGAAAAAGCCUCGGCUAACUCCGUCCCAGCAGCCGCGGUAAUACGGAGGAUGCGAGCGUUGUCCGUAAUCAUUGGGCGUAAAGAGUUCGUAGGCGGUAUGUUAGGUCUGGUGUUAAAUGCAGAAGCUCAACUUCUUUUCGGCACUGGAUACUGGCAAACUAGAAUGCAGUAGAGGUAAAGGGAAUUCCUGGUGUAGCGGUGACAUGCUUAGAUAUCAGGAGGAACAUCGGUGGCGUAAGCGCUUUACUGGGCCGUAAUUGACGCUGAGGAACGAAAGCCAGGGUAGCAAAUGGGAUUAGAUACCCGAGUAGUC
rnacentral:rRNA from 1 species